CUUCCGAUCUGGCCAGUCCGUCCAUCUGAACCAGCAGCUCGGUCUUCAUCCUGCGACUUCCCUCAUGCUCCCCUCUGAGAACAUACACGAGCCUGCUGUUAUUUCAUUAAGCUCGUCCAGGAAGAUGGUGGAUGGGGCGUGGUACCUGGCCAGCUCAAACAGAACCUGCCGACGUAUGGACACAUACAAUUACCAAAAUACAAAAAGAACUGUGACCUGGAAACCGUUUUUCUUCUUCUUAAUUGUUGCAGUCAUCAGUGCGUGUGGAAGAACAACCUACCCUGACCAGUUUCUCAGAAUCUCCUCUCCACUUGCUGACGAUGCUGGAGGCUGAAAUGUUGAAGAAGGUCGUCUUACACUCCGUAGCCACGGCCUUGGCCAACAGCGUCUUACCUGUACCUGUGUGCACAUGGUCACAUGGUCAAAGGAAGAACAUGUCGGCGGGAAGAAUUCCAAAUAGUAGCACUUUUGGACCAGAAGUUAUUUAACUGAUGAAUAGCAAUCAGUAAAACCUGCAGGUCUCACCUGGGGGGCCAUAAAGCAGCAGGCCUUUCCACGGAGACAGGAUGCCUGUAAACAGUUGGGGGUACUGCAAUGACAGAGGGAUGGAAUAUGAAAACUAAAGUACAGACCAACAUUUAGAAAGUAGCACAAUUCGAUAUGAAAAUAUGUUACAGCUGCAUACGUUUCUAUUUCGUACACACCUGUACGACGCUGCGCUGUGUGCAAAGGAAGCGGACUAUCUUGAUUUAUAGCAGAGUCGGUGCUGCAAAUACCACAUGCUACAAAUGAACCCGAAUUUUAUGUGGCAAACGAGUCCGAGUGCAAUCACCAAACUGACCUUAUACCACAGAGAAUGAAUAAUAAUAAUAAUAAUAAUAGACACAGAAGUUGGGGAUUGUGGGGAAGGCGGAUGUGCGGUGGUGUUCAAUAAAACAGUCCAGCAGAACAGGACAGACGCAUCAGUCCUCAUCUCCGUCUGUAAAUGUCAAGAGGAUGCAGACAACCUGAUUUGUUGUCAUCAUAUCCGCGAGAGAGAGGUCUGGGUAACGAUGACAGAAGCGUGUGCAUGUAUUUUCCCCGUGUGUGUAAUAUGUUUUAUUUGUAUUGGCAAUUUCUAUAUGAAGUGGCAAAGUUGUACAAAUGUGUUUUUGUUUAUACAUGGCAGAAUUUGUGCGUGUGUGUUUGUUUUCCCUGCCUAUCUAUCCAUCUAUGUAUGUGUGUGUGUUACCAUAUUAUCCCAGAUAUAGAUUUAACGUCACCCUAACAGACUGGCCUGACCCCACUACCCUCCUCCUCAUAAAGGAGAUGUAUUCAGAAUCGAAGACGGGCGACCGCAGCUGAAAUACCAGCAUGCCCGGCCAGCGGCUGCACCUUAAUGGGAUAGACGACGGCCUCCUUGACUAAUCGCUUCGCGUCCUCCAGGCCGAUGAUGUCCUCCCAUCGCACGUUGGGGCUGUGCAAAUAGAUGUCCUAUAGGGGUGAUUACACACACACACACACACACACACACACACACACACACACACACACACUCGAUUAGGCUUGUAAAAAUGUGUAUCCUUUAGCCUGAAACAUCAGGGAAUAGUCAGAAACAAGGCCUCCACUAAUACAGAUCAUCCAUUCACUCACUACAAAGCUCUCAGGUGCUCCCUGUUGGACAUAAUUGGUAUCACUUAAAGGAUAUCUUUAUAAAUAUGUGCCUUGAGUUGGGAUAAAAUCAGCCUAUCCAUGUUUGGAGUAUGUAUGUUUCUGGUUUGUCAGCACUUGGGUGUGGGUGUGGGUGUGGGUGUGUGUGUGUGUGUGCGUGUGCGUGUACAGUAGUACCCUGCUGAUGAUCGUGGCCAGUUCCCUCAUGUCACCGCUCAUUCCAGAAAAGCCACUGAGGGGUUUCAGCAGCCGUUCCUGCAACAAAUCAUAAAAUCAUUGUUAUUGGGCGUAGUGUGUUUCUAUUAGUAGUUUCACUGUUGUCUGAUUCGAUUGUUAUCAUUGAUUGUUUUCUUAUGUAGCGGAUGUAAUAUAAAAGGUAAUUAAUGUUAAGAUAAAUUCAUGUUUUUGCAUUUUGAACAGAAUAUAAUUACCAUGUGGUCCAUGGCAGCUCCUUUGCCGUCAAUAACAUGGCCCUGAGACAGGCAGUAAAAGAUGUUGACUCAGAAGAAAACAGUGCGAUAAAAACAACAUGAAAGUGGUGGUUUAGUUUUAAUUUUUUUUAUGAAAGCGUAUUUUCAUAUUUAUCAGUUUGUGUGUGCUUUGUACAUGCAACUCUUACAUUGCGUUAAAUGGCUAUUCUAAUGAGGAACUUUUUUUUUGUGUAAUGUGGCGUAGUCACUAAUGUUUGGGUUUUUUCAUGAAUUAAAGACUGAACUCAAUUGAAAGAAAGAAGAAAGAAAGAAAAAUAAUCCUUUAUAUCACAGACGUGAGGGAAUAUUCAUUUGGAUGAUGGGAUUUGCUGUUCAACCAUAUUACAACUGAAUGAAGGUUGUUAAUGCCUAAAAUCUAAAUAAAUGAAUGAAUGAUCCCUUCA